CUUCGGCUCCCGCUAUCGGAUGAGCCUAUGUCGGAUUAGCUGGUUGGUGAGGUAAAGGCUCACCAAGGCGACGAUCCGUAGCUGGUCUGAGAGGAUGAUCAGCCACAUCGGGACUGAGACACGGCCCGAACUCCUACGGGAGGCAGCAGUGGGGAAUAUUGGACAAUGGGGGGAACCCUGAUCCAGCCAUGCCGCGUGUGUGAAGAAGGCCCUCGGGUUGUAAAGCACUUUCAGUGAGGAAGAACGCCUGGUGGUUAAUACCCUAUCUAGGAAAGACAUCACUCACUAGAAGAAGCACCGGCUAACUCCGUGCCUAGCUAGCCGCGGUAAUACGGAGGGUGCGAGCGUUAAUCGGAAUUACUGGGCGUAAAGCGCGCGUAGGUGGCUUGAUAAGCCGGUUGUGAAAGCCCCGGGCUCAACCUGGGAACGGCAUCCGGAACUGUCAAGCUAGAGUGCAGGAGAGGAAGGUAGAAUUCCCGGUGUAGCGGUGAAAUGCGUAGAGAUCGGGCANGNGAAUACCAGUGGCGAAGGCGGCCUUCUGGACUGACACUGACACUGAGGUGCGAAAGCGUGGGUAGCAAACAGGAANAGAUACCCUGGUAGUCCACGCCGUAAACGAUGUCGACCAGCCGUUGGGUGCCUAGCGCACUUUGUGGCGAAGUUAACGCGAUAAGUCGACCGCCUGGGGAGUACGGCCGCANAGGUUAAAACUCAAAUGAAUUGACGGGGGCCCGCACAAGCGGUGGAGCAUGUGGUUUAAUUCGAUGCAACGCGAAGAACCUUACCUACUCUUGACAUCCUGCGAACUUGUGAGAGAUCACUUGGUGCCUUCGGGAACGCAGAGACAGGUGCUGCAUGGCUGUCGUCAGCUCGUGUUGUGAAAUGUUGGGUUAAGUCCCGUAACGAGCGCAACCCUUGUCCUUAUUUGCCAGCGCGUAAUGGCGGGAACCCUAAGGAGACUGCCGGUGACAAACCGGAGGAAGGUGGGGACGACGUCAAGUCAUCAUGGCCCUUACGAGUAGGGCUACACACGUGCUACAAUGGUCGGUACA
rnacentral:rRNA from 1 species